UGAAAAAGGUGCUGAGUGAUUUAAAAUAAAAGAGCAUGUGGACAUAACAAAUUGCCCAUCAUGCAGUCCAAGUCUCUAAGAAGUUAAGCAGUUAUUUCAUGUGAAGUUACAUAGAACCAUACUUAGAAUACAUAUAAUAUAAUAUUAUCAUCCUCCUUGUCUAAUAAGAUUAUUGAAACAGAGAUUUGUGCUGCAAGCAUAACAAAUACCAUUUCGAUCAUAUGAUUAAUGAGCACCAGUGGCUUCAGCACAAUUGCAUAUUUGUAUAUAAGCUUUCUUACUUCAAUAACACAGCUGUAUAUAAAACUUAUAAAUGACCAAGUGAUCAUACCAAAAGGUUUUGAGGUUUAA
rnacentral:misc_RNA from 1 species